UCCGUAGGCGGAAUAAUAAGUCAGUGGUGAAAGUCUGCAGCUCAACUGUAGAAUUGCCAUUGAUACUGUUAUUCUUGAAUUAUUAUGAAGUGGUUGGAAUGAGUAGUGUAGCGGUGAAAUGCAUAGAUAUUACUCAGAACACCUAUUGCGAAGGCAGAUCACUAAUAAUAUAUUGACGCUGAGGGACGAAAGCGUAGGUAGCGAACAGGAUUAGAUACCCUGGUAGUCC
rnacentral:rRNA from 1 species